UACGUAGGGGGCAAGCGUUGUCCGGAUUUAUUGGGCGUAAAGCGCGUGUAGGCGGCUUGGUAGGUCAGCUGUGAAAACUCGAGGCUCAACCUCGAGAUGUCGGUUGAAACCACCUUGCUAGAGUCCGGAAGAGGAGAGUGGAAUUCCUGGUGUAGCGGUGAAAUGCGCAGAUAUCAGGAAGAACACCAAUGGCGAAGGCAGCUCUCUGGGACGGUACUGACGCUGAGACGCGAAAGCGUGGGGAGCGAACAGG
rnacentral:rRNA from 1 species